CUACGUGCCAGCAGCCGCGGUAAUACGGAGGGUGCGAGCGUUAAUCGGAAUAACUGGGCGUAAAGGGCACGCAGGCGGUGACUUAAGUGAGGUGUGAAAGCCCCGGGCUUAACCUGGGAAUUGCAUUUCAUACUGGGUCGCUAGAGUACUUUAGGGAGGGGUAGAAUUCCACGUGUAGCGGUGAAAUGCGUAGAGAUGUGGAGGAAUACCGAUGGCGAAGGCAGCCUCCUGGGAUAACACUGACGUUCAUGCUCGAAAGCGUGGGUAGCAAACAGGAUUAGAUACCCUGGUAGUCCACGCCCUAAACGAUGUCAAUUAGCUGUUGGGCAACUUGAUUGCUUAGUAGCGUAGCUAACGCGUGAAAUUGACCGCCUGGGGAGUACGGUCGCAAGAUUAAAACUCAAAGGAAUUGACGGGGACCCGCACAAGCGGUGGAUGAUGUGGAUUAAUUCGAUGCAACGCGAAGAACCUUACCUGG
rnacentral:rRNA from 1 species